GUUGGUAAUGAGUGCGCGAGCUCUUCCACAAACCUCGAGCGAACUAAAGGCGAACGUUCUGCAGUGCGACAAUUCGCGAAGAUAGCAGAAUUUCGCACGCCGCCACCGCGGCGGAGAAAUGCUUCAGAAGGUAUACUAUAUCGUGAAGAGCGCGAACAGAGACGAAGAAGUGUACCAUGGCCAGCGGGUUCCGUGAGGGACGCUCCCUUCUUCGGCAACUGGAUCUCAUUUUAAUUCCCCUCGAAGGAAACGAUCGCCUAGCAGCUGUUGCCGCUUACGGAACCAAACGCGCGCAUCGCCCGGACUCAAGGAUCCCGCGUGAUUUCUCAGGAUACCUGAGGAUACCCGAGACAUGGAGUCGACUGGCUGUUCCGCGAGGCGCGCACAGAGUGCGUCCAGUGUUAAUUAACUUAACACGUUGAAGUGCCGUCAACAGCAAAAUGUCGAGGGAUACCGCGUGUACGCCGAGUGAAACGGGCGUUGCUUUCAAAUAAAACCAAAUUUUGCCGCGUCCCACUUUCCUUAUCUCUGAUCUUGAUUACAUAUUUGCGAGGUGCUUGUUUAUCACGAGAUCGUAUGCGAUUACUUAUCGCGAUUAUCUACACAUCAGUUAGCAGUCUGUAAUUUCGACUUUUAGGCAUCGCGCGGCGCAUUCAAUUCCGCCAGUUUGGUUAUUAUAAUUUUAGAGUGCUGAAUAAUUAACCUCGCUUUUUCCUCCUCCUCCUCUUCUUCCUCUUCCUCCCGUCCCGCGUCAUUCAGAUGAGGCAGAAUGCGCCAGUCAAUAAUUUUCGCUGAAAGUCUGUUUUCUGUGUUCAAUGAAUCAAAGUAAUAAUGAUGUUUAGUGCGAAAGCGAUCGCGACACUUCGAACGUAUUUACGCGCGUUUUUUUUCUCUCAUGCCUACAAAUGAAUUUAUGCAAAGAAAAUAAGAAGAGGUAAUUCUUCUGAAUUUCUGUGGAGAAAAUAUGAAGGGAUUCUUUGUGAAAAUUCGCAAUUGUAAAACAAGCGCGAUACGCGACGCAAAAUCGUUUGACAGAUAUCUAAUCUCUUAUUUUGUCACUCAUGUUGGUUUUCUUUCGUGUAAUCGCGUACGUUUAUUGGUAUACAAAUGAUAUAAACACGAACUAGCAAGGAUAUAAGGAUGAGAGAGGCCUGCUUCAAUAUUUACCGUGGCACUCGUGCGACUUGUGUCAUGCGAUACUAAAUCUCUGCGUCAAAAUUUCUUUUGCAACAACUAUAUCAAUUGAAACUAGAAUGACUGCUGUCACUUUGUCGCUUCGAGCCAUCGAACGAUGAUAGUCGCACAAUGAUCUAAAUUAUCGAUACAUUUAAUUGACAUCAAUUUAACAAGGGCAAGACUUAUUACAUUAGCCACGAUCAAUGCGAACAAGUCUGCGACGAUAAGCCACGCGCAAUUCCGCAGCUUCUCCGUCCUGUCGAGGACACCUCGAGUGUCCUGCCGCGCUCAAUUUAUCUUGAAUCUCCCUGCACGGAAGUCACGUCGCGGAGCCAGUGUAUAAAUCAUUACAGUCGAAAUAAUUGUAUCACUAGGUCAAUAUGACACUACGCGAUACUCCCCAAU